rnacentral:rRNA from 1 species
GCCAGACUCCUACGGGAGGCAGCAGUGGGGGAUAUUGCACAAUGGGGGGAACCCUGAUGCAGCGACGCCGCGUGGGUGAAGAAGCGCCUCGGCGCGUAAAGCCUUGUCAGCAGGGAAGAAAAUGACGGUACCUGAAGAAGAAGCCCCGGCUAACUACGUGCCAGCAGCCGCGGUAAUACGUAGGGGGCAAGCGUUAUCCGGAUUUACUGGGUGUAAAGGGAGCGUAGACGGCGGGGCAAGUCUGGAGUGAAAGGCCGGGGCCCAACCCCGGGACCGCUCUGGAAACUGCCCGGCUGGAGUGCGGGGGAGGUAAGCGGAAUUCCUAGUGUAGCGGUGAAAUGCGUAGAUAUUAGGAGGAACACCAGCGGCGAAGGCGGCUUACUGGACCGUGACUGACGUUGAGGCUCGAAAGCGUGGGGAGCAAACAGGAUUAGAUACCCGAGUAAU